GAACUUUUGAACGUUGCCAACACUGUCCUCUCUUUUUUUAUGGAUUUUGUCCGCUUACCACUAUCGUGUAUAAAACUAAAAAUGCCAGCAUCUUGUUGCAUAAAAAACUGCCGCAACAAAAAAAAAGAUGGUAUUAGUCUAUUUAAAUUUCCACUUAAAAGAGAAGACCAUUUGAAAAAAUGGCUUCAAAAUAUUGGAGACCUGAAUUUUAAACCGAGAAAAUUGGACGUAAUUUGCUCUGCUCAUUUUCAACAAAAGGAUUUUAUGAGUAAACGUGGUGAAAAUGGUUUGCUCUUAAAUUAUAGUGCUGUUCCAUCAAUAUUUCACAGCAUGUCAAGAAAUGAAUCUCCACAAAUAUCAAUUGUACCAGAAGAUUCAAUUGCCAAUCCUCCAACCACAUUUGUAGUAUUAAAAAAUUCAGUUGUUGAUCUUCCAUCAACAUCUGCAAUAGUACCAACAGAUCAUCAAUAUUGUGCUACUUUGAUUUCUAAUCUGUCAACUAGUGAAAACACCAGUAUGAAUGUCUCCGGUAUAGUGCAGGAUUCUAAGAAAAAAAAAAAAAGAAUAAUGCAUAGUUCUACAUUGCAUUUUAAAAGUCAAGAAAUCUCACCAAGAAAGAAACAAAUGCAGAGAGAAAUUAAAACAUUGAAGGAAAAAUUAAGAAGAAAGGAUGAAAAACUUCUUGCACUUCAAGAUUUAGUAAAACAAUUAAGAAUUUUUACCAGAAUUGGCAUAUAUAUUUUAAAUACCUAUAUAAUCGUUUGCUGAAAUGAAAAAGUACUAAAUUAGUACAUGACCAAUUGUGUAUAAAAGAAUUUUCUUGAACAUGAUGGAUACAAAUUGAUUCUUAAAAACUUCAAUGGAAUGGUAGGAGAUUUAUUCAAAAACGAAUGGCAGAACCGAAAUAAAUCAACAAAAGGAUGCAGAUAUAUGGACGAAAUAAAGAAAUUUGCUUUAAUGCUACAUUUCUAUUCACCAAAAGCCUACAACUACUGCAGAUCAAUUCUCCAUUUACCACAUGCCAGCAGCAUGAGAAAUUGGUUGUCUUUAAUAAAUGUGGAGCCAGGAUUCUUAAACAAUGUUUUUGAGGAGAUUUCCAAAUUUCCACCUUAAUCACGAAAUAGUAAUCUGAUAUUCGAUUCGAUGGCAAUACAAAAACAACUUAUAUGGGAUAAAUCGAAAGAAAAAUUCAUCGGAAUGUGCGAAUAUGGCAAUGACAUUACAAUUGAAGAUUCAGAAAUAUAUUCAAAGUUUUAGUGUUUAUGUUAGUUUCGUUGAGCAGAAAGUGGAAAUGGCCCGUUGGAUAUUUUUUUUUAUCGAUAUCGGCAUCAAUGCAUUCCGAUUUAAUGCCAAUAUUUCUAAUUCUAUCUCAGCAAUCAGGCAUUAAGUUAUGGAGUGUCACCUGUGACGGAGUAUACGUAAAUUAUGCAACAAUGAUUUUAUGAGGUUAUUAAUUAUGCGUUAUCGAUUCAAAAUUGAAAUACUCGUACAAACAUUUAAGCUCUGAUCACGUAUAUUUUGUAUCUGAUGCGUGUCACAACUUAAAGCUUGCACAAAAUACGUUAGGAAAACAAAUUUUAAGAUCACCUUCCGGAUUAAUUGACUGGCAACACAUCGUAAAUUUUUAUCUUUUUCAAAAUAAUAUAACCUUAAAAUUAGUAAAUAAACGUACUAAUGUACACAUUAAUUAUAAGCAAAAUAUAAUGAAGAUAAAAUUAGCAGCACAGACUUUAAGUUGUUCUACUGCUGCUGCUCUUAAAUUUUUAAAAUUUUCUGAAGUUGAUUGAUUUAACGAGUGUAAUUCUACUGUGGAAUUCAUCACAGCUAUCGAUGAAAUUUUUGUUUUUUUAAAUUCCCGUGAUCCAUUUGUGAAAGGGUUUAAAAAACCUAUAUAUAUUAAUAACAUUCAUUACUUGCAAGAGAAAAUGGAAGAAAAAAUUAAUUAUUUGUACUCUUUAAAAAUUCAUAAUCCUGACAUUCUUUUAUGUAUAUAAAAAGGAAAACAUUCAUUAUAGAUUUUGCAGCUGCUAUGAAAUCCAUUUUGUAAAUUGCUAAAAAUAUUUUACUUGAGUUAUCAUUGAAAUACUUAAUGACUUACAGAUUUAGCCAAGACCACUUAGAAUUGUUUUUUGUCCAAGUACGACGCAGAAAUUCGUGGAAUAAUAAUCCAAGUGUAAUGCAAUUUACAUCUGUGAUAAAAAAUUCAAUUUCAGUAUCAGCAAAUUCUAAUUGUGUUUUAAACUAGACAAUAAAAUAGGAUUUCAGUUAA